ACUAAUUCACUUUUAAAAUCACCAAAAGUUAAGCAUUUUCAACAAAUAAAGUAACCAAAAACAUCACCUCCUAAACACUAAUUCACUAUUAUAGUCACUGGAACUUAAGCAUUUUCAACAAAUAAAGUAACCAAUAACAUCACCUUCUAAACAAAUGUUCACUUUUAAAGUCACCCGCACUUAAGCAUUUUCAACAAAUAAAGUAACCAACAACAUCACCUUCCAAAUAAAAGUUCACUAUUAAAUUCACCGGCACUUAAGCAUUUUCAACAAAUAAAGUCACCAAUUAAACCAUUUUCAAGCAACUAAGUAUCAAAACAAAAACAAAUUCAAAACAAAAAAAUACCCUUCAAAGUCCCUAGACUUAACCAUUUUCGAGCAAGUAAGUGACCUAACAAACCACAUUCAAAACAAAAAAAAUCUCCUUCAAAGUCUCUACACUUAACCAUUUUCAUGUUACUAAGUCGUCAAAUAAGUCACAUUCAAAACACAAAAUCCCCUUCAAACUUCCUACUCUUAACCACUUUCAACCUACCGUGUCA
rnacentral:lncRNA from 1 species